UGAAAAAUGAAUACAGGGUAAGAAACAGAAGGAAAAGAGGCAAAAAUAGAGUAUGGAGUACUUAAAAUUUGUAACUAGCCUUUGAAGCAUUUUUAUUCAUGUUAUUCGGCAGAUGCCUUCUGAAAAGUUUUCUGUUCAACAGAGUCAUAAAAUGUUAGCCCUAGAAGGUGCCUUGAAGACCACGAUGAGUUAACUUUCUUCCUUUGCCAAGGAAGAAGCGAUUACUUCAGCAACUGUAAAUAUCAAAAACCAAUCCUGGCAUACUUCCUUCAGAGAGUUUUGUUGUAAGCCAUUGUAUGGAAAUAUUGGAGUCUGUUUUAAGGAAAGUUCUCAUCAAGGUAUAACCAGCUCUAUCAUGUUGCAUUGUGCUUGAUGACUUGGGGAAUGAUCAUUAUGACGGUCAGAAUCUGCUGGAGCAAAGAUGUGUCUUCUCUGUGUAACUUCACAUAGUGGAAGGAGUCAGGAACCUCUCUGAGGUCUCUUCUAUAAGAGGACUAAUCCCAUUCAUAAGGAGCGGUAUUUAUACCCCAGCAGGACUUGCUUGAAUACAAGGAACGCCAUCUAAUGAAAAUCCCAUGCCGCAGGCUGAGCUGGAGGGAGCAUCGUGAGUGGCUCAGACCCAGGCCUUCAAGACUGAGGAGGAAGCAACAGCAGCUGUGCAUUGGGCCCACAGAAAGAAUGGUUGAAGACUGCAGUGUAUUUUGAGUUUCUGCUUUGGAGGGGAGGGUUGGUCCUGAUGCCCACAGACGAAUGGCCUCCUGGUUCCAAUCAAGGCCAGCCCAAAAGUCUGCUUCUGGAACCCAAACCUAAGGGACUCAGCUAUGUUUGUGUUGACCUACUAUCAAUAAAGAAGAUCCUUAUUUAAGAACAGGCCACCUUCUGUUUUACACAUAUACUUUCUGACCCUAGAAAUUGUUCAGAAGGUGGAAUGUUUUGCUGUUUCAAUGAGAUCACAUGUGUAAAGGCUCUUUGUACACUGCAGGAGCUAUAGAAAUGUGAGUUAUGAUUGCUCAAAUUUCAUUCCCUUUGCUCUAAUUUUGAGUUAGGGGAGAGAAAGCCGGCCUGUAAAGUACAUAUCACAGUUUCUCUUUCUCAGCUUUCAACUGCAUGGGAGUUUGUAUUUCUGUUUCUACUACUCCAUUUCCUCUGCUGAUACCCUGCCAGGGAGGUGAAUGUAUCAAGUCAGGAAGUAGACUUCUCAGAAUAAAGAAUGCAGAAUUAGAAUGUUUAGUGCACCCAAGGUUAGGUGUAGAGUGUGUCAUAUGAAAGUAAUAGGUAUACUUUUUUCAUAGCAUUUAAUAUGCCUUUAUCCUUAAAUUUUUAAUAGGUUUUGAUAUAUCAAAGUAUAUAAAAGUAUACACUUUAUUAUAAUUGUCAACUGUAUUUUUGUAGUUUUCUUCUCUCACUUUUCAGAGAGGGGAGAAUUUAGCCCUUACUGUGAAAACAAAUACACAAGGAAGAAACAAGCUUAUUACAAACAAGAAUGUUCCUCUAUUACAUGUACUGAUCUAAAAACCUUAGUCUAGUUACUCCUCCUGAAGCUCAUGUUUAAUAUUUGGAAUAGAAAAUACUUUUCUAUUAAAAAAUCCAGAAGAAAUUAAGAUAUUGAUUUUUCCCCAUAAGAUCUCUGUUGUGGUGACUGCAGUGACUGUAAUAUCUUCUGUCGUUGCAUUUGUAAUGGCUUCAUCAAGAAUGAGAUUGCCUCCCAAAGGGUGGGUUAGAAGUUUCCCAUCUGCAGGCAUUGCUUGGCCAGCAUCUAUCCUCUAUUUCCACAACCCACCAUGUUUUUUGGAAUAAUAUGGGUGCUCUUAGUAACUCAUGCAAGGGUGGUCAUUUUGCUUCUGUAUGAUAUUGAUUCUAUAACUUGCAACCAGUGGCAGAGCUCAGUGGAGGACUUUCCACCUUCCACCCACCCUGCUCUUUUCUGGCCACAGCCAAGAGCUCCAGAUUACAGAGAUUCUGACUGGUGAAUUUGGAAGUAAUCACUUCAUUUCCCAGGAGGUCCAAUUCAGGAUAUACCUCUAGUUUAGAGUUGGUUGCGAGAGUUAUGCAAACCAACAAUAAAACUGGGAGACUCCAGACGCCAUUGCCCUCAAGGCCUUGGGCACAGCCCAGGGAGUGCCUGGCUGUGUGGACUUGGAGCCAAGGGCCCUGGGACUGCAUGCGACACCACUACUCAACACACAAGAGAUUCCCAGCUUAGCACAAAAUAGGUUUUUGUUUGAUUCCUUCCCAGUGUUUACCUAAUUUAAACUCUGUACUCUAAUUUGAACAAUUGUUAUGUUUGCUCUCAAUAAAUCAAAAUGAGAUGUUCUGAAUAAUCCAUUUGGUACCAAUGGAAAAAAAAACCCACUGUUGAAAUGUAUGAUUGUUAUUUUGGUGAAAACAUGAAGAA
rnacentral:lncRNA from 1 species